rnacentral:sRNA from 1 species
CUAGAAGAGGUGGGUGCAGAGCCUCUGGUGUUUGCCUUCCUAUUCCCCUCUGGGCACCAAGGUACGCUGAGCUGAGACCAGGAUCCGGAACUUCAACCUGUGAAUUUAGCAAACUCUACGAAAGUUUACAGAACUCUAUAGAAGCUCUACAGGAGUCAUGGCACAAACUAGACACCCCACUGCAAAGAGGAAGUAGUUUAUCUAAAGAUGUGCAAGGAAAUAAAGACAUGUGAUGAGGGCUAAAUCAGGCAGCUUGGCCCCACAAUCCUGCUUCUAAAGAGAAGUCCAUGCUGGGGAAGACUAAGACAGCUCUUGCAGAGGAUCAACUCCGUCAGCAAUCUCAGGUGGAAGAACAGAGGGUGGCAGCCCUGGAGAAUCAAAUAUCCGAGGUAUCUGAGCUGCUAGGUACCUACGAGAAAGCCAAGCAGAAGGACCAGCUGGCCAUUCAGAAGCUGAAGGAGCGCAUUCUGCAGCUGGACCUGGAGAACAAGACACUGGCUCUAGCAGCCUCCAGCAGGUCCCCUUUAGACAGCCAUGGAGAGGAGUCCAGUCUGGAUGUCAAUGUCCUGAAAGAUAAGAUGGAGAAGCUGAAGAGGCUGCUGCAGGUUGCGGCCAGGAAAAGCCAGGUGACCCUGGAUGUGGAGAAGCUCUGUGACCUGGAGAUAAUGCCCAGCUCGGAGGCUGCUGAUGGGGAGAAGGCUACUGCACUGUAUUACCAACAGGAGCUGAAACAGCUGAAGGAAGAGUUUGAGAGGUACAAGAUGAGAGCCCAGGUCGUCCUCAAAAGCAAGAAUA